AAAUUGAAGAGUUUGAUCAUGGCUCAGAUUGAACGCUGGCGGCAGGCCUAACACAUGCAAGUCGAACGGUAACAGGAAGAAGCUUGCUUCUUUGCUGACGAGUGGCGGACGGGUGAGUAAUGUCUGGGAAACUGCCUGAUGGAGAGGGAUAACUACUGGAAACGGUAGCUAAUACCGCAUAACGUCGCAAGACCAAAGAGGGGGACCUUCGGGCCUCUUG
rnacentral:rRNA from 1 species